rnacentral:rRNA from 1 species
GAUGAACGCUGGCGGCGUGCCUAAUACAUGCAAGUCGAGCGAACAGACGAUGAGCUUGCUCCUCUGACGUUAGCGGCGGACGGGUGAGUAACACGUGUAUAACCUACCUAUAAGACUGGGAUAACUUCGGGAAACCGGAUCUAAUACCGGAUAAUAUAUUGAACCGCAUGGUUCAAUAGUGAAAUACGGUUUUUCUGUCACUUAUAGAUGGAUCCGCGCCGCAUUAGCUAGUUGGUAAGGUAACGGCUUACCAAGGCGACGAUGCGUAGCCGACCUGAGAGGGUGAUCGCCCACACUGGAAGUGAGACACGGUCAAGACUCCUACGGGAGGCAGCAGUAGGGAAUCUGCGGCAAUGGGCGAAAGCAUGACGGAGCAACGCCGCGUGAGUGAUGAAGGUCUUCGGAUCGUAAAACUCUGUUAUUAGGGAAGAACAAAUGUGUAAGUAACUAUGCCCGUCUUGACGGUAACUAAUCAGAAAGCCACGGCUAACUACGUG